rnacentral:lncRNA from 1 species
UUGAAGUCUUAGUGAAAUUAUCGCCAUAAUUUUAAAAGCUAGUUAUUUCAGCUAAAAACAGCUACUAUUUCAGAUAACGGAGUUUCUGCUGUUUUCAUUGUUGGCUUCUAGAGUAAAGCGAGUUGCUCUGAAGCAAAAGGGAGGUAAAUGGGAGCAACUUUGAGAAAGUUUUUUUCACUUAGAGAGUAUGCUGAUAGUGCUGGUUCUACGUCUCUGUUAUCCUCAGUCCACCCCAUUCUAAAUUCAGGUCCCGUUUAGGUCACAAGCUUUCCCAUUCUGUCCAAAGCAUCGUCUCUGUCUGGUAUUUAUGACAUAGUCCAGUGGACUGAAUGACCUGUGAGCGGGCCAAGUGCCAGAGGAAAACAUGCUCAGGCUGGAGGCAGCCAAAAAACGGCUGGACAGUGGCUGGGAAGCUAUGAGGGCUUUGUCCUGUUUUUGUUUGUUUGUUUCUUUUUGUAUCUAUGUGAAUUUUGAAAACCAGAAACUCUAGUCGGGAAAAUUUGGCUAUGUGCAGGACAGCUACUUGCUAUUCCUGGCAAGCAGACAGCUAGGGAACUUUAAGAUUACCCAACAGAGAUGACCAAAGCUAGACCGGAAGCACUCUGAGACUUAGAGGUGUACCAGCUCGAUGAAGUAGACUAUGCAUCUAUCAGAAUGAAAGCAGUUCUCUGAGUUGCAGCUGGAGAAUGAGGGCAGCUGAGGCCACUCCAAAUCUCAGGAGAUCAACAGUGUUACAGCUGAUGAUCUAAUUAUGGAUUAUUUGGGUCAGACUCUGUUCUCCUAGGUGUGACUUGGUUGACUUAAAAAAGGUUAAUUCAUUCAUUUUGUAGGGGUUAUCGCAUAAAUGAAUUAUAAUUGUUA